CGCUGGGGCUGGGGCGGCGCAAACCCUGCGGCACCGGCUUCCCUGCUGGGAUCCGGCUGCGGCCGGACCUGGCCUGGGCUGGCGGGGAGGAGGGGGCUGGGGAGCAAUGGAUACCGGAGUCCCGGAGACCCCAGGGCCGUCCGAACCGAGGGCGAAGAGCUGGGCCCGGGGGAGGGGUGGCUGUGCCGCCCGGUAGGGGGAGAUUUUCGGACGCCCCGCCCUGGUGGAUGCGGAUUGCCUGCGACGUGGAGGGGUGGGGACCUCGGCGGUUUGGGUGUUUCCGCAGUCUGGCAGCGCUGCCUCUGAAUCCAGCUUUCCCCACACACUCCCUCUCCCCUCUGAGCCUCAGUUUUCUCAUCUGCAGAGUGGGGACGGUAACACCCUUUGUCGUAGAGUUUGGAGGAUGCAAUGAGUGAUCAGCAGCAAAACCACUAAAAAGAAAGGAAGUUUGAAAGAUGAUGACAGUGGGGACCAUGAUCAGAAUGAAGAAAACAGCACACAGAAAGAUGGUGAGAAGGAAAAAACGGAACGAGACAAGAAUCAGAGCAGUAGCAAGAGAAAGGUAAGAAGAUGAGGCACAAACAGGUUAAGUAACUUGACAGUGAUGAAUCUCAUAGAGGAGGCAGUGCUUGGACUGGGCAUAUGCUGAGAUAAGAUACAAACAUGAAUACCUAUUAUAUGA
rnacentral:sRNA from 1 species